GUUAUAUACAGUAGAGAGGCUAUAUACAGUAGAGAGGCUAUAUACAGUAGAGAGGCUACAUACAGUAGAGAGGUUAUAUACAGUAGAGAGGCUACAUACAGUAGAGAGGUUAUAUACAGUAGAGAGGCUAUAUACAGUACAGAGGCUAUAUACAGUAGAGAGGCUAUAUACAGUAGAGAGGCUAUAUACAGUAGAGAGGCUAUAUACAGUAGAGAGGCUAUAUACAGUAGAGAGGCUAUAUACAGUAGAGAGGCUAUAUACAGUAGAGAGGCUACAUACAGUAGAGAGGCUACAUACAGUAGAGAGGCUACAUACAGUAGAGAGGCUAUAUACAGUAGAGAGGCUAUAUACAGUAGAGAGGCUAUAUACAGUAGAGAGGUUAUAUACAGUAGAGAGGCUAUAUACAGUAGAGAGGCUAUAUACAGUAGAGAGGCUAUAUACAGUAGAGAGGUUAUAUACAGUAGAGAGGCUAUAUACAGUAGAGAGGCUAUAUACAGUAGAGAGGUUAUAUACAGUAGAGAGGUUAUAUACAGUAGAGAGGCUAUAUACAGUAGAGAGGUUAUAUACAGUAGAGAGGCUAUAUACAGUAGAGAGGCUAUAUACAGUAGAGAGGCUAUAUACAGUAGAGAGGUUAUAUACAGUAGAGAGGCUAUAUACAGUAGAGAGGCUAUAUACAGUAGCGAGGCUGUAUACAGUAGAGAGGCUAUAUACAGUAGAGAGGCUAUAUACAGUAG
rnacentral:lncRNA from 1 species